rnacentral:misc_RNA from 1 species
CCUUCCCUCGCCCUCUCCUUUGUUCGGUAUUUUGCGUAGGCGCACCAUUGUUGCUCCUCCUCGCAGGUGUGUGUGUGUGUGUGUACACGUGCGCACACUCGUCCACCGUGAUACACGGCUCAUUCACGAAAGAGCGUACGCUGGCGCAUCCAUCAUGCUGCGCGCGACGUCUUGCUUGGGUAUCUACGAGUACCAGUUCGGGCAGCCCUCGCUGCGGAGCGCCUUCAGCGCAAGGAUCGCGCCGGCUGCCAAGGCGCGCAGCCCCGGCGCGGUGCAGUCCACAAAGCUAACGAAUGGCGUGCGUGUAGUGUCGCACGAUCUCGACGGCCCGGUCGCGUCCAUCGGCGUUUAUGCGGAUGCGGGACCGAAGUACGACCCCAUCGCCACCCCCGGCCUGAGCUACGUCAUGCGCUUCGCCCUGCAGACCUCCAACAUGGACAGCUCCCUCUUCCAGAUCGACCGCACGAUGCGCUCCACCGGCAACGCGUACGGCCACGGUGAGGUGUGCAAGCGCUAUCUGAGCUGGAAGGCGGAGGGCCGCCGUGACAUGUGGGAGAAGCCAUUUGAGAUGCUCGCCACCGGCGUCGUCGCACCGCGCUUCCACGAGAGCGAUAUUGAGCGCUUCCGCGACACGAUGGACAACCAGCUGGAGGAGAUGCGCUGGCAGAACCCUCGCGAAUACGCUAUCGACCAGCUGGAGACGGUGGCCUUCUACAAGGAGCCGCUCGGGGCGCCGCGCAUGGUGCCUCGCAUCGCAAACGACCGCUGCAGCCACAAGGCGCUGCUAGACCAUUGGGCCGCGAACUUCCAGCCCAGCCGUAUCGUCCUGGCUGGUGUGAACGUGCCGCACGACGCCCUGAUAGCCGCCUAUGAGAAACUGCCGUACAAGCACUCGGCCGAGGCCCCGCACCACGCGCGCGCCGCCGCGCCGAAGCUGUCCCACAGCAACGAGGCGGCCCAGUUCUACGCGGGCCGGCAGAACGUCGAGUACGAGAGCCGCGCCGCUGUCAUGGGCACAAUGCCUGACAUGCAGGCGGAGGUGAUCGGUGCCGUCGGCGUGCCUACCCACGGCCGUGACGAGGGCGCCAAGCAAUAUGCGACGGCGCUGGUGACGCGCGAGAUCUACGAGGAGGCGAUGCGCAGCGCGCACGGCAGCCGCGCCGGCUCGGAGCACUACGGCGCACAGGUCUUCUACCGCCCGUACUCGUCUGCCGGCCUGAUCGGUUACACUGUGCGCGGUGCGCCGGCCGAGGUGAAGACGAUGCUUCAGGUAGCCUCCAGCGCCUUUCCGGCAGCCGUUGACGAGGCGGCCGUGAAGCGUGCGGCCCACUGCGCGUACGUGCGCCUGCUGCACGACCAGGUGGAGAUGACACGCGACUACUGCGACUUCCUCGCCACAUCGCCCAACUCAGUCGAGGAACUCGUGCAGGCAGUCAGCGGCGUCACGAAGGCCAACGUGGAAGAAGCGAUGAAGAAAAUGGUCGCGCAGAAGCCGGCCACGUACGCGACGGGCGACAGCUUCACGUUUCCCAUGGUCGCGUCGCUGAGUCACGCUUAAGAACAGGCAAGGUGGGGCGGGUGUGCACGUGCGAGCGAACGCAUGCGCAGCCGCCUCUCUCUCUCACUCUGUGUGUGUGUGUGUGGGUGGGUGGUAGACAUAGUUUUACUUCCUUUAUAGUAGUUAGGUGGGCAGGAUUGUGGAGUGAAGAGGGGAGCGCUGGAAUGGGCUGGGCUGGGGCAGCAGCGGCGACAUGGUGGGAGACGGGGACGAGCGAGUAAUAGGGAGGGCACGGUUCUGCCUCUUGGCGUGUGUGUGUGUGUGGGGGGGGGGGGGGGGGGGGGGCAAAUGGCAGAAUGUGGGCAACGGGAGGAGGAAGAAGAGAAGGGCAGCUGCGGUGGAGGAGUGCGUCUCUGGCCCUGUGUCUCACUACUUCCUCCCUCCCCUCCUCAGCUAUCCCUCUGGUCAUCUCUCGUUCGCUAUCUCUCACACGUGCCCCUCCCCCCUUCCCCUCCUUCCCUCCGGUGUGCACUGAUCAGCAUCUUAACCGAAACAGGAUCGAAUACGAAUCAAGGUGGGGGGCGCAGCGCCCCACUGCCCCUCCUGCUUCCGAGGCAGAAUGGAGAAGGCGAAGCAUGGCCGGCGUGUCGGGUCAAAUGAUGCGCGAAGGCGAGGCGACGGCAUGUCGUCCUCCACUCAUCACCUCUCCACUCUUCCGUAUGGUGUUCGGCAUGGGGAGGAGCGUGUGCAUCGUCCGAGUACGUAGCGAUGAGGGCCGUGCUCGGUAGUUGUGCUGAUGGACUGUGUUGAUUGCUUCACCGUACCCCCCCCCCACUCCCUUUUACUAUCCUCUUGUCUGCACACUCGCGUACAAGAGGCACGCUACGUUGCUCUGUGCACAAGUCGUGUGUGUGUGCUGUCGUCGCUUCGCUUUAUGGCGCUGCUCACAAGGUCAUGUGUGGACUUCUUGUUGCCUUCUCUCACCCCGACUCCUCCCACUCUCUCUCUCGGCUCCUCUUUUUCCGCGGCAACGGGGCACGCCGUCUUGUCUCUCUGCCUCAUUGCGCCGUCCUCGCAG